UACGGAGGGUGCAAGCGUUGUCCGGAUUUAUUGGGUUUAAAGGGUGCGUAGGCGGGUAAUUAAGUCAGUGGUGAAAGCCCACAGCUCAACUGUGGAGGCGCCAUUGAUACUGGUUAUCUUGAGUGUAGUUGAGGCAGGCGGAAUUUACGAUGUAGCGGUGAAAUGCAUAGAUAUCGUAAAGAACACCUAUAGCGAAGGCAGCUUGCUAAGCUACUACUGACGCUGAGGCACGAAAGCAUAGGGAGCAAACAGG
rnacentral:rRNA from 1 species